GAUGAACGCUGGCGGCGUGCCUAAUACAUGCAAGUCGAGCGAACGGACGAGAAGCUUGCUUCUCUGAUGUUAGCGGCGGACGGGUGAGUAACACGUGGAUAACCUACCUAUAAGACUGGGAUAACUUCGGGAAACCGGAGCUAAUACCGGAUAAUAUUUUGAACCGCAUGGUUCAAAAGUGAAAGACGGUCUUGCUGUCACUUAUAGAUGGAUCCGCGCUGCAUUAGCUAGUUGGUAAGGUAACGGCUUAUCAAGGCAACGAUGCAUAGACGACCUGAGAGGGUGAUCGGCCACACUGGAACUGAGACACGGUCCAGACUCCUGCGGGAGGCAGCAGUAGGGAAUCUUCCGCAAUGGGCGAGAGCCUGACGGAGCAACGCCGCGGGAGUGAUGAAGGUCUUCGGAUCGGAAAACUCUGUUAUUAGGGAAGAACAUAUGUGUAAUUAACUGUGCACAUCUUGACGGUACCUAAUCAGAAAGCCACGGCUAACUACGUG
rnacentral:rRNA from 1 species